UACAGAGGGUGCAAGCGUUUAAUCGGAAUCACUGGGUGUAAAGCGCGUGUAGGCGGCCUGCCAAGUCUGCUGUGAAAGCGCCUGGCUUAACCGGGCGAGGUCGGUGGAAACGUGGCGGGCUGGAGGCUGGUAGGAGGGGGGUGGAAUUCCUGGUGUAGCGGUGAAAUGCGCAGAUAUCGGGAGGAACACCGGUGGCGAAGGCGGCGACCUGGGUAGAUACUGACGCUGAGGAGCGAAAGCGUGGGUAGCGAACAGG
rnacentral:rRNA from 1 species